rnacentral:rRNA from 1 species
UGGGGAAUAUUGGACAAUGGGCGAAAGCCUGAUCCAGCCAUGCCGCGUGUGUGAAGAAGGUCUUCGGAUUGUAAAGCACUUUAAGUUGGGAGGAAGGGCAGUAAGUUAAUACCUUGCUGUUUUGACGUUACCGACAGAAUAAGCACCGGCUAACUCUGUGCCAGCAGCCGCGGUAAUACAGAGGGUGCAAGCGUUAAUCGGAAUUACUGGGCGUAAAGCGCGCGUAGGUGGUAUGUUAAGUUGGAUGUGAAAGCCCCGGGCUCAACCUGGGAACUGCAUCCAAAACUGGCAAGCUAGAGUACGGUAGAGGGUGGUGGAAUUUCCUGUGUAGCGGUGAAAUGCGUAGAUAUAGGAAGGAACACCAGUGGCGAAGGCGACCACCUGGACUGAUACUGACACUGAGGUGCGAAAGCGUGGGGAGCAAACA